GACGGCAGUCAUACCAAUUCAUCACCAGAUUAAUGUCUCAUGGAAUCAUUGUCUUCCGAUAUGGCUAUUACAAACAGAGAGCAAGAAUUCUACCAUCAUAUACACACCAAUACUCUGGUGCAAACUUCUAAGCAAGUAGCCCGGAGUAAAACAUCAUCACCACACCCAUAAUGACCCACCAAACUUCACAGCUAUAGACAAUUACGAUCUAGUAAUACCAGAAAUAAGCAAGUCUGCAAACGUGUUCAUGGCUAAUGAUGAUUAGGGUCUACUGAUAGUAGAAAGGAGCAAGCCUGCAAAGAUUCCUUUUCCUCUGAAAACUUGCAUCUGUUGGGAUCACUCGUAAGUCACAACCAUCAGCGGAAUGGGAACUGUGGCUCCUUGCCACAUUCCCUGGACACCUUCUCUUCUUAGCUUCAUCUGCAAAUUACCCAACGCAAGAUUUGAUCAUAUAUUCAUAUUGCCACAUUCUCAUAUCAACGUUAAGCAUCCUAUAGGAUAGUUUCAAGUACUGUAAAUCUAAUCUAAAGACCAUGCCACUCAUUUUCCAUAUGAUUGUUCUUUUAUGAGUAUGAAUCUUUCUUCUCCUUUCAAUUGGUAGUGCUAACAAACACACAACUGAUGACAUGAACUUGCAAUGUUGGAAUU
rnacentral:lncRNA from 1 species